GAUGAACGCUAGCUAUAGGCUUAACACAUGCAAGUCGGGGGGAAACGGCAUUAUGUGCUUGCACAUUUUGGACGUCGACCGGCGCACGGGUGAGUAUCGCGUAUCCAACCUUCCCUCCACUCGGGGAUACCCCGUUGAAAGACGGCCUAAUACCCGAUGUUGUCCACAUAUGGCAUCUGACGUGGACCAAAGAUUCAUCGGUGGAGGAUGGGGAUGCGUCUGAUUAGCUUGUUGGUGCGGGUAACGGCCCACCAAGGCUACGAUCAGUAGGGGUUCUGAGAGGAAGGUCCCCCACAUUGGAACUGAGACACGCUCCAAACUCCUACGGGAGGCAGCAGUGAGGAAUAUUGGUCAAUGGACGGAAGUCUGAACCAGCCAAGUAGCGUGCAGGAUUGACGGCCCUAUGGGUUGUAAACUGCUUUUGUUGGGGAGUAAAGUGAGGCACGCGUGCCUUUUUGCAUUUACCCUUCGAAUAAGGACCGGCUAAUUCCGUGCCAGCAGCCGCGGUAAUACGGAAGGUCCAGGCGUUAUCCGGAUUUAUUGGGUUUAAAGGGAGUGUAGGCGGUCUGUUAAGCGUGUUGUGAAAUUUAGGUGCUCAACAUCUACCUUGCAGCGCGAACUGGCGGACUUGAGUGCACGCAACGUAUGCGGAAUUCAUGGUGUAGCGGUGAAAUGCUUAGAUAUCAUGACGAACUCCGAUUGCGAAGGCAGCGUACGGGAGUGUUACUGACGCUUAAGCUCGAAGGUGCGGGUAUCGAACAGGAUUAGAUACCCUGGUAGUCCGCACGGUAAACGAUGGAUGCCCGCUGUUAGCGCCUGGCGUUAGCGGCUAAGCGAAAGCAUAAAGCAUCCCACCUGGGGAGUACGCCGGCAACGGCGAAACUCAAAGGAAUUGACGGGGGACCCGCACAAGCGGAGGAACAUGUGGUUUAAUCCGAUGAUACGCGAGGAACCUUACCCUGGGCUGAAUUUGCAGACGCAGGGAUACAGAGAUGUCGACUCCCUUCGGGG
rnacentral:rRNA from 1 species